rnacentral:rRNA from 1 species
UACGUAGGGUGCGAGCGUUAUUCGGAAUUACUGGGCGUAAAGCGUGCGCAGGCGGCUUUGCAAGACAGAGGUGAAAUCCCCGGGCUCAACCUGGGAACUGCCUUUGUGACUGCAAGGCUAGAGUACGGCAGAGGGGGAUGGAAUUCCGCGUGUAGCAGUGAAAUGCGUAGAUAUGCGGAGGAACACCGAUGGCGAAGGCAAUCCCCUGGGCCGGUACUGACGCUCAUGCACGAAAGCGUGGGGAGCAAACAGG